CCUACGGGUGGCAGCAGUAAGGAAUAUUGGUCAAUGGACGAAAGUCUGAACCAGCCAUGCCGCGUGCAGGAUUAAGGCCUAUGGGUCGUAAACUGCUUUUUCGCAACCCCUGGUACUGUAAGAAUAAGGAUCGGCUAACUUCGUGCCAGCAGCCGCGGUAAUACGAAGGAUUCGAGCGUUAUCCGGAUUUAUUGGGUUUAAAGGGUGCGUAGGCGGACUGAUAAGUCAGUGGUGAAAGCCUGUUGCUUAACAACAGAACUGCCAUUGAUACUGCCAGUCUUGAGUACAGUUGAGGUAGGCGGAAUGUGUCAUGUAGUGGUGAAAUACUUAGAUAUGACACAGAACACCGAUUGCGAAGGCAGCUUGCUAAACUGUACUGACGCUGAGGCACGAAAGCAUGGGGAGCAAACAGGAUUAGAUACCCUUGUAGUC
rnacentral:rRNA from 1 species